rnacentral:piRNA from 1 species
CCCUACAUUGUGCAAAUUGAGCAGCCAGG